GAUGAACGCUGGCGGCGUGCUUAACACAUGCAAGUCGAACGAAGCACUUUAUUUGAUUUCCUUCGGGACUGAUUAUUUUGUGACUGAGUGGCGGACGGGUGAGUAACGCGUGGGUAACCUGCCUUGUACAGGGGGAUAACAGUUGGAAACGGCUGCUAAUACCGCAUAAGCGCACAGCAUCGCAUGAUGCAGUGUGAAAAACUCCGGUGGUAUAAGAUGGACCCGCGUUGGAUUAGCUAGUUGGUGAGGUAACGGCCCACCAAGGCGACGAUCCAUAGCCGAGCUGAGAGGGAGACCGGCCACAUUGGGACUGAGACACGGCCCAAACUCCUACGGGAGGCAGCAGUGGGGAAUAUUGCACAAUGGGCGAAAGCCUGAUGCAGCGACGACGCGUGAGCGAAGAAGUAUUUCGGUAUGUAAAGCUAUAUCAGCAGGGAAGAUAAUGACGGUACCUGACUAAGAAGCACCGGCUAAAUACGUG
rnacentral:rRNA from 1 species